CUGCUAAUCCCAAACUCCCACUCCAUCCCUCCCCCAAUCCUCUCCCGCUUGGCAACCACAAGUCUGUUCUCUAUGUACUCGUGGAAUAAUUUGACUUUGUCAGUAUGGGUGGUCCCAUGCUGGGCACUGAGAACAAGAAGGUGAAUAGCACUUGGUUUUUGCUUUUGAAAAAUUUACUGAAGAGUAGGGAUAAUUAAUGUGAAAAGAAAAGAAAUCAAUAUGAUAUGACAAGCUUCAUAAAGGUAGAUAAGCAAAUAACUGUGAGAUACAAAGACACUACUGUCUCUUUCUUUUUAAAAAGAAUUCAGAGUCUAACGUAUUAACAUAAUCUGCAUAAUUAUGUUUAAAGAACAUACAAUCAUCCAUAAUGUAAUAUACUGCAGUUGGCCAGGCUGUUCUCUAAUGGGAACAGAAGUGUUGGGUAUAUGGGAGCUCUUUCCACUUUUCAGGGAAGAAGACAUUUCCACAAGUUUCCUUGCGGUCAGCAGGCAAGAGCAGGUCAAGGAGGUUGGACGACUUCCUCUGCAGGCGGAAGAGGGCUCCAGCCUCCCAGCUCUGCAAUUGCAGACCAUGCAUUUGCUGUUCCGAGCCCAUCAGUUGCAAAUCAGUUCUCCUAAAAGGAGACGUAUGGGAUGGCCAGAGCUCAGUUUCAUGAAGGAAGAGGUCAAUCAGAUUCUCACCUAAGAGCUCAACUAAUUUGUCUCAUUUCUGACUUACAGCCUCCCCAAGCCUCCUCUCGGAAGUACCACCUAUCACACCAAUUUUCAUAAUUGCAGGACUCGCCGUGCCCUUCUCCUCACUGAGAAACGUGCUCGUCCUUUCUGACCAGGAUGCUCAGCCUGUCUCUGCUGCCCACUCAGCCACGCGGCCCAGCUGAUUCCCGCUCGUCCUUCACGUUGUGGCUGAAAUUUCAGAUCCUGCAGGGUGCGGUUUCUGGACCCGCAGGCUCUGGUGCCCCUGCCCGCACUUCUGUGAAGCACUGAACACUUCUGUCACGUUUGGUGUUGUCUGAUGGGAUCAUUCCCUUCCACCUCUGCCUCUACUCCAGGGUCCUGAACUAUGGAUUACAGAUGUUUACUGGCCAUUUGGAGAUAUCCUCUUUUCCCUUUGAUUCACAUGGGGAUAAUAUUGUGAGGGGCUUCCCCGUUGAUGAACCCAACUUGAAUCCCGAGGGCAAGAGACUCCUUUUAAAGAGGUCCAGUGGUUCUGGGAUUUGGGCCUGCAUCAGAAUCACCUGCAGCUUCUCUCAAGCUCAGAGGACUCCUGUGCCAGCCUCAAGUCACCCAGGUUCCGACCCUGGGACAUCUUCUUCCCUGCAAAGGUGUCGCUUUGAGCCUGAGUUCUACAAGGAUCAAGCCAUCAGCCACUGCAGUUGCCCACGGACAGUGCACUCUGAGGGAAAUUCAGGAUGGAGAAAAACAGCAAACUUUCUGUGCUUUGGAUAUACCGCCCCUUAGAUCACUCAUCCUUGGGAAAGCCGACUGCCGUGUCCUGAGGCAACCUUGCUGAGAGGUCCAUGUGGCAAAGGACUGAGGCCUGCCAAAAACCACAUGAAUGAACUUAAAAGAAGAUUCCCACCUCACUCCAGGUCAGGCAUUCAGAUGAGAUCACAGCCUCAGCCAAUAGCUUGACGCAGCCUCAUGAGAGACUUUGAGCCAGAGUUGCCUAGGAGCUGGUGAGCCUGGAAGAUUAUUUAGGAAGAGGAAAUGAAACUGAAAAGACACAGUAAGAUUCCUCUUUUUCUUGGAAGCAAGACACGAUAUGAAUAAUUCUCAUGCUGUCCAAUUAACUGCCUCAGUACAAAUAGAAAAAAAAUACACACUUGGUUAUUUGGAAGAAAUUGAAGAAAAAGCGAAGAACGGGAUGGUAGUUUCAACAAUAAAGCCCUAUACAAAUAACUUCCUUUCGGAUUUAAGGCUUGUCUCCCGCAGAAAAAGCAAUGCUCAUGAA